UACGUAGGGGGCAAGCGUUGUCCGGAUUUAUUGGGCGUAAAGAGCGUGUAGGCGGUUUGGUAGGUCCGCUGUGAAAACUCGAGGCUCAACCUCGAGACGCCGGUGGAAACCAUCAGGCUAGAGUCCGGAAGAGGAGAGUGGAAUUCCGUGGUGUAGCGGUGAAAUGCGCAGAUAUCAGGAAGAACACCCGUGGCUAAGGCGGCUCUCUAGUACGGUACUGGACGCUGAGACGCGAAAGCGUGGGGAGCGAACAGG
rnacentral:rRNA from 1 species